ACUUUUGGAAUUUUUGUGAAGGGACCAUAUGAUAUAGUGUUGUUAUAAGCAAGGAAAUCAUAGGAUUUACAACUUCAAUAACACCUUGUAUAAAUCUUGUUGAAUUAGCUCCAAUAUGUAUCAUAUGAAGCACAAGUAUAUCAGAAUCUCCUAAGAGGGACUUACAUGAAGAGGCAGAGAGAGUAAUGCAGCCAAGGAUGACUUGCCGACAACAUUGGCGAAUGUUCAUGUGAUUUCUGCCUCAUUGUGCCGGCAAGUUGUCCUUGGCUAUGUUAGUCUCUCAUCUUCUCAUGUCAGUACCUCAUUUUAGGUCAGUCGUGGUUUUAAAUUAUGUUCUCCAACUACAAUAUUACUAAUUUUUAAGGUCUCUAUAACGACAUCACAACCACGAAUUUCGCCAUUUUGCCUCGUUUUUCUCCAAUAUAAAUGUAUCACGCCGGGGUCAAUCAAUGGAACACUAUUAUGAAGUCCUAAUUCCCUUGAGUAGAGCCAUGUGCAACUAAUAUGGUUGCAUGCACAAGUUGAACUUUUAGUACAUGGGGAGCAUUUCAAAAUGGACCACACCUACAAUCAUACGUUAUAUGUCUGCUUGUUGUGUGCAGUCUGAAGUCUACCAAAUUUUGCAUAAUGUACUAUGUAAUAUGUACUUUUAUGUCAUAACCAUGUAAUAAAAUUGAAUUUUUCUUUUA